rnacentral:rRNA from 1 species
UUGUGGUUAAAAAGCUCGUAGUUGGAUCUCGGCGGUCUGAGGGCGGUUCGCUUGAUUGAGUGCUACUGCUCUAUAGGCCGUGGUUUUGCCAGAGGUCUCGGGGUGCUCUUAACCGAGUGUCCUGCGAUGCUGGCAGGUUUACUUUGAAAAAAUUAGAGUGCUCAAAGCAGGCUUUUACGCCUGAAUAUUCGUGCAUGGAAUAAUAGAAUAGGAAGUCGUUUCUAUUUUGUUGGUUUUCGGAAAUCGACUUAAUGAUUAAUAGGGACAGUCGGGGGCAUUUGUAUUCAAACGACAGAGGUGAAAUUCUUGGACCGUUUGAGGACAAACUACUGCGAAAGCAUUUGCCAAGAAUGUUUUCAUUAAUCAAGAACGAAAGUUAGAGGUUCGAAGGCGAUUAGAUACCGCCCUAGUUCUAACCAUAAACGAUGCCAGCUAGCGAUCUGCCGACGUUUUCUUUGUAGACUCGGCAGGAAGCUUCCGGGAAACCAAAGCAUUUGGGUUCCAGGGGAAGUAUGGUUGCAAAGCUGAAACUUAAAGGAAUUGACGGAAAGGCACCACCAGGAGUGGAGCCUGUGGCUUAAUUUGACUCAACACGGGAAAUCUCACCAGGCCCCGGACACUGGGAAGGAUUGA